UGGUCUUUAACACGGGUUUGACUGUAUACACAUCAGUGGGAGUGUAACUGGAUUUCAAUACAUACUACAUCAGUGGGAAAAGCGCAAUGAAGUUCAGCUGUUUCCAGCUUGAAACACAUGAGGUUGAAGUUGCAAAUAGAGACUGACAAUGACUGGACAGACAAUGAUGAUGGUGAAGAACUAUAGAAAACUGUGGAAAACUUUUAAUAGUGGCCAUCAACAAGCAGUCAUUGAUUCCAGUAUUCCAGCCAAUGUAUCCGUCUCCACACAAGAAGCAAUACCAGGAAAUAUGUGACAUUCAUCAGCCAGGUAGUCAUUUACCCCAAGUGGCAAAGUUAGAGAAUGUCUGACACCAAAAUACUCAUUCUUGGAAAAGGAGUGGAAUGUUUUGUGCUGUGGACACUGCAGAAUUGUGGAUUUGAAAGUUUAACUUCUCACACCUUCUAUAUGAGUAAGGUGUAUAAUACAGUAGGAAAGUUGUCGUUAGCCAUUGGAAAUGUGGUACAUACAAUUAGUGGUGGAGAAAUGGACCUGGUUAGCCAUUGGACAUGUGGUACAUACAAUUAGUGGUGGAGAAAUGGACCUGGUUAGCCAUUGGACAUGGGGUACAUACAAUUAGUGGUGGAGAAAUGGACCUGGUCAGACAGUUGGACAUGUGGUACAUACAAUUAGUGGUGGAGAAAUGGACCUGGUUAGCCAUUGGACAUGUGGUACAUACAUUAAGUGGUGGAGAAAUGGACCUGGUCAGACAGUUGGACAAGUGGUACAUACAAUUAGUGGUGGAGAAAUGGACCUGGUCAGACAGUUGGACAAUAAAUGUGUAUGAAACGAUCACCAUGGUGCUUGUCUAAUGGAAAGGGUUAACUUUAAAGUUGCACUGCCAUGUGUGGGGAAAAACAUGAAAUGGAGACGAUCACAUACCAGCGCACACAGUGGACUUUAGAAGAAAUUUCUUAUCAGUCAGGAAUUGCCAAAAAGGAUGUUGAUACUGAUACAACUUCCUCGUAGCAACUUCAGUCCUACAGAUUUAUAUGGGGAGGCAACAAUUAUCACUGUUGACCUAGAAACUAUUGACCUAAUUCAAUAUGGGAAGAUGCCACAUGCCACACGAAGCCGCAUACCACAACAAAUCGCUGUAGCACAGAUAUCUAUGUCACACC
rnacentral:lncRNA from 1 species